CACGUAGGGGGCAAGCGUUGUCCGGAUUUAUUGGGCGGAAAGAGCUCGUAGGCGGCUUAGUAAGUCGGGUGUGAAACCUCCAGGCUCAACCUGGAGACGCCACCCGAUACUGCUGUGGCUAGAGUCCGGUAGGGGAGCGUGGAAUUCCUGGUGUAGCGGUGAAAUGCGCAGAUAUCAGGAGGAACACCAGCGGCGAAGGCGGCGCUCUGGGCCGGUACUGACGCUGAGGUGCGAAAGCGUGGGGAGCAAACAGG
rnacentral:rRNA from 1 species